rnacentral:tRNA from 1 species
CUGGUCUAGUAAACCAGGGGUCGAGAGUUCAAUUCUCUCUGGGGGCA